AUGAGAGUAAACAAAUUUCAAUGUGCAGUACAUUUGAAGUGUGAACUACAUCCAACAUUUAGAGCGUGUUUGAUAACGGGAAGUGUUUUUGUGGAAGUCGAGAAUUUCUUACAACUUUCGUGUUUGACAAAAAAAAUGAUAACUUCAAAUCAGAACUCCAAUUUACUGUUCAUCUUUUUCAGUCCCUUUGUAAAAAAAGUUCCGACCUUCAAAAUUGGAAGUUUGUAACUUCCUCUCCUUCGAUAACCCUAGCCACUUUUCUCUUUUUCCCCGUUGAGCACCCACCCCACUGAGCAUCCCUCUGUUCGUUCAUAGAUUUUCCACCGGAUAAAGAUUUUCGUUCUAAAAACCCUCUUCCCUGCGAAGCCAGUGAUCCAUCUUUCUUCCACAAUUCAAGUUCUUAGUCAUGGCAUAUGAUGAUCGUCACCGCGAUGAGGAUGGAGAGCCAUUGAUGGAUCCGGACACGGGUUCAGAACCAGAAGAAGAAGAUUGGGAACGGAGCGAUCACCCACGCCAGUCAUGAAUUCUGGUGAAGACGAUGAGCCUAAAGCUAAACCUAGAAAGAGGCUCAAAAAGAAGAGUAACAAGGAAAGCUUUUUUGGCUGAUGAAGUUCAGGAAAAUGAGGAUUUUUCAGCUGGAAAGUUGAAGGGAAAGAAGGAUCGAGCAAGAAGAGGAAACCAAAGGAAGAAGAAAAUUAGAGCAAAGUCUUGAGAGAGAAGGCUUGGCAAAAGUUCAAAAGUUGCUGAUUGAUGUGGAGCAGUUUGACAGGAAAGAACAACUUAAAAAAAGUGGCUUGGGGAAGGUCAUUAUGUUUUUGUCACGAUCUGAUGAAGAGACCACAACAAAUUGGAAGCUUGCAAAGCAAUUGGUUGAUAAACGGGUGCAAUGUUCACACAAAUUCUAUACAUAGGCGCAUUCUUCUUACAAGAGUUUACUUAUGUGACAAAGUACAGAGACAAGUCUUUACUUAUAUACUUAAACGAAUUAGAGAAGAUAUUUAACACAGAUGCUUUGGAUUGAAGCCAUGUGAAAGUGGGAAGAAAUAAGUGUCAAUGUCUUCCUCAAGGGAUCUCGGCAUCUCAAGAGUGUCUUCCUAAGCAUCUAGUCUUUCCUUUCAUUAAAGUUCUAAUUGUUGUCUAAAUCUUUUCUUUUUCUUUUUUUAAUAUUGGGAACAUUGUGGGACAAAUAACAAUGUUGUUUUAUUGUUGAAUGAGAUAUAUUUUUGAAGUUGG